CUAUAUAUAUACGUACGAUCUGGCAACCAUCUUGCAUGGGAACACGUCUCACGCAUCCAUAAUCCGUUAGUUGGUACGAGUAUCAAAGCAGGUUUGAUGCUGUUCUGCACCUAAACUCUUUUUUGCGUAAAAUGCACCUAAAUUCUUCAGAUUCGUAUCUUUUACACGAAAAAAUGAUUCAUCCUUUUUUUUCUCCGCAUUGCACAAUUCUCAAAGCACUCCAAUCAUCUUCUUCUAUCCACUUGCAUAGAUCCCAAAGCCGCC
rnacentral:lncRNA from 1 species